rnacentral:lncRNA from 1 species
UAAGUGCCAAAAAACAAAGAAAAACAUACCAGUCAUUCACAACAUGCAACCAUUACCCUAUCAUUACAUCAGCUUGAUUUGCCUACCUGAUUUCUGGCAUCAUGUUAGGCCAUACACACAUAUUUCUGUCUGGUUCACUUUUUGUUAAUAAAGUAGUGUAGAUAGAAGACUACAACCGCGACAAAGUUAGGCAAAGUUGAGUAACUGUGAAUAAAAAAAAAGGACCUUCACAUUAACAUGGUAGACUCUUUCCUGAGAAAAUUUUUAAUAAUAGUUACCUUUUAUCGGUGGAUGUCAAAUGCCUCAAGUGUUGCACCCCAUCCUAUUAGCACAAACUGUCAAACAGGCAAAAUGACAUCCAUGUAUUAACCCAAUGAUCUGCCACAUUAACCCUCGUUUAGUAAGGAACCUACCUUCAUUCAGUAUUGCUAACGCAUUGCAAAGAACAGCACAAAAUAAGGUUUCAGUUCUCAAAUUCGGUACAAACACUGGGCCUCAUAUACAAUAGUGAGAACUAAAAACUUCUUAUUGGAUUGGAUAGGGGUAUAAUAAUAUCUUGCAUUCCCUGUAAAAUACUAGAAGGUGCUUGCAGUUGUUACUCCAAUUAUUGUGUCUACUUGUUGCAACAUGAUGAACAACAAGUAGUCGACAACCUGAGAGUCACUUGGAAGUUUCUGACUUUUGUAUUUAUCCAUAUGUUUUUCCGUAAAGGAAGCUUGAUGCAGCAUGCUUUAGAACUUAGAAGAGUCCCAGUUCAACUACAUUUCAAUCAAUCAGGAUCGAGUGUGACAUUGGAUAGGCUUUUGGAUUGGGUUAAUUUUUCUAGAUAAAUCAUCUAGUAAUUGAUGAUACGUCGAAGCUACAAACCCUAUUUAUCAAAGCUUCACUUGAUUGAAAUUUAUGAAAAAUAGAAACCAUUUCCAGUAUUAGGAACUACAGAAGUGCAUUUAUCAUAUACCUUUGAGUGUUUUUGGUUUUCUAGAGCUACCUUCAAUUGGUAAGGUGAGUUGAGUGAGUGAAUUCAUUCUAAAUGUACACAAGUGAGGCCGCAAAAGUUGAGUGAUGGGUCGAGCUUAAAUCAUUGAUUGUCUUGUGGUUUUAUAGUGGAUUUUUCUCUGGGCAACUUAGGUUUCCACACUGCGUAAACACUUGCCGCAAUCCUUUAGUUUUUGUGCUUUACUUGUUACAAGCAGUUUUAGCGAACUCAAAAUGCAUAUAUGCUACACCCUUCCAUUUUAUAUUGGAUUCAUCUCUAGGCAACUUAGGUUUCCGAACUGCGUAAGCACUUGACGUGUUCCUCUAGGCCCUUUUUUCCCACUUGUUUCUUUGUAAAUCCCUAUCGUUAUCUAGCUUUAACCAGUAUUACUGGAGGUAAGUUUCCCUAAAUAUUAUGGCAGUGCUUUGAAAUUAUAAGAUGUGAAACGGCAGGGAACACAUUUUAUACUUUUUCAAUCAUCUUGCAAUCAGCUGAACUAACUAAAUGUUUUAGCUCCUGCUUAUCAUAUUUGCCUAAGCAAAGCACAUACUCAAAUCUUGAAAAUCUAUGAAAUGUAAAGCAAACAGGUGAAAAGAUCAAAAGAAUCAAAUCAACAUAUAUUUACAGAAGCAUUGCUGCUUUGAAAUGUGACCCAAUGUAAUAAUUUGUGCAAAGAUUCAACCUUUGAUUAACUUCCAUUAAACUAACGAACAAGCAACAGAAAUUAUACCAUUAUAAAUGCAAGAAACAGCAUCAGAAGAAAAGAUUUUAGUUCGUAUCAAGUUUAUCAUUUCGAGGUUCAAGUGAAGUAAACCCUGGAGGCGUGGACAUAAAAGAUCUCAACUUAUCUCCCGAAAUUAGCUUGAAACAGAGCAAUCAUAUUGGAGAACACAAAGAAUAAAAAAAAAAGUUUCUAAAAGAUGGGAAUUUUCUCACCUAUGACAAGAAGAAUGGAAACGAGGAGACCGAACCAACAAGAAAGUUGCAAAACGACAGACAAUUUCAGCUUGUUGGGCCAUGUCAGAUUCAGGGAAAGGAAAACUUUGAUCUAACGGAUAGGAU